UACGUAGGGUGCAAGCGUUGUCCGGAAUUAUUGGGCGUAAAGAGCUCGUAGGCGGUCUGUCGCGUCUGCUGUGAAAACUCGGGGCUUAACCCCGAGCCUGCAGUGGAUACGGGCAGACUAGAGGUAGGUAGGGGAGAAUGGAAUUCCCGGUGUAGCGGUGAAAUGCGCAGAUAUCGGGAGGAACACCGGUGGCGAAGGCGGUUCUCUGGGCCUUACCUGACGCUGAGGAGCGAAAGCGUGGGGAG
rnacentral:rRNA from 1 species